rnacentral:rRNA from 1 species
UAGGGAAUAUUGGACAAUGGGCGAAAGCCUGAUCCAGCCAUGCCGCGUGAGUGACGAAGGCCUUAGGGUUGUAAAACUCUUUCGUCGGGGACGAUAAUGACGGUACCCGAAGAAGAAGCUCCGGCUAACUUCGUGCCAGCAGCCGCGGUAAUACGAAGGGAGCUAGCGUUGUUCGGAAUCACUGGGCGUAAAGCGCACGUAGGCGGAUAGUUAAGUCAGGGGUGAAAUCCUGGGGCUCAACCCCAGAACUGCCUUUGAUACUGGCUGUCUCGAGGUCGAGAGAGGUUGGUGGAAUUCCUAGUGUAGCGGUGAAAUGCGUAGAUAUCAAGAGGAACACCUGAGGUGAAGACGGGUUGCUGGGCUGACACUGACGCUGAGGCGCGAAAGCCAGGGGAGCAAACGGGAUUAGAUACCCGAGUAGUCCCUGAGCGGGCUGGCAAGGCGCAU